AUAUCUUGUUUGUAUCGUAAUCAUGGAAGCAGCCAGGAAGCUCGUGUUCUCCGUCACAUAAUAAAAAUAAAAAAUAAACAAACAUAAAUCUCGGCGGUGACUUCCAGUAUCAAAAUUCAUAUUCCCCUACGCUACGCCUUCUCAAUCUUCUCUACCCAAUACCCAUCCAGGAAACAAGAAGAAAAAGAAGAAGAAGAAGAAGAUCGAAGAAAAAGAAUCAUCAUAUUCAUAUAUAUCAUGGGUUGCUGUGGAGAUGACGACUGCGAGUGUCACCCUUUGGGGUUUCUGUUGGGGCUCCCCUUCGCCUUCGUCUCCCUCCUCCUCUCCCUCGUCGGCGUCGUCAUCUGGAUCGUCGGGAUAGUGCUAAGUUGCAUAUGUCCGUGUUGUAUAUGCGUUACGGUGAUAGUGGAGAUGGCUUUAGGACUGAUCAAAGCUCCAUUUUCUGUCAUCAAGUGGUUCACUCAGCAGAUACCUUGUUGAUCGAAAUCCAUUUCUUUAUUUUAUUUAAUUUCAUUCUCUUUUUUUCCUAUUUAUUUCUUCUUCUCCUUGUGGAUCUAUCCAACUUACAAUAUUUAAUUUAUUUUAUUUUUAUCUGUUGUAAUUUUUUCCCCCACUAAUUACCAUAUCAUAUGUACAAUAAUAUACCCAUUGAUUUAUAUAUGAGUAGUUUUUAAAUUUCA